rnacentral:rRNA from 1 species
CAGCACCUCAAGUGGUCAGGAUGAUUAUUGGGCCUAAAGCAUCCGUAGCCGGCUCUGUAAGUUUUCGGUUAAAUCUGUACGCUCAACGUACAGGCUGCCGGGAAUACUGCAGAGCUAGGGAGUGGGAGAGGUAGACGGUACUCGGUAGGAAGGGGUAAAAUCCUUUGAUCCAUUGAUGACCACCUGUGGCGAAGGCGGUCUACCAGAACACGUCCGACGGUGAGGGAUGAAAGCUGGGGGAGCAAACCGGAUUAGAUACCCGAGUAGUCC